UCAUGGGCCCCUUUGGAAAGCCUUCGUCAGCCCCCGAGGAAGAGAGGCUCCCACUUUGAAGAUGACCGCACCGAACUGUAGAAAACCCACUGUAACUCAGGGAUGUGGAAAAACUUUUGUCAGCCGGAGGUGUUGAUGACAUUUUCAUGGAAGAUAUGACAUCGGCUGGCCUUCUGGGUAGAAUUUUGAUUCCUGGUGAGGAGAAGGAAGGGCAUUCCCCACAGCAUGGAAGCGACUUGGGAAUGGACUUCUGAUGAAACUAAAGAGUUGGUAGCGUGGGACCAGCCCACACAGGACCUGCAUUUAUGGGCCUGGGAGCUUGUACUCAGGUACUGGAGAUUUUUGCAUGAGCGAGUACCUGAUGAAAGUGAUGCUGAGGGAGAUUUGUUGGGUGUUGAUAGGGAGGAGGAGAGGGCGCGUGCAGAGCUCGGAGGCAGGGAGCAAUCCAAGGGUAGUGGUCAUUAAUGUGUGGAUGGGUGUAAAGGCCUUGGAAAUGGAGAGGCCGCUGCUGGUUAAUUGUGAUGGAGACAGAAAUUGUGUGCCUAUGUUAUGGUUAAAUUGUGUGCCAAUUGCUUGAUGUUCUUCAUUUCAGACGGGCUGCCAAGUCCCAGAGCUAACUCGCUGCCGUUCCCCCAUUCCUGCCGCCGCCUUCUGUAUUGGGGGAAUACUUAAAGUCUAGAAAGACCACACGCCUUUCAGUUCAUCAAGUAGAGGUACAAUAGGGGCCACAUUUCUCUAUUGCUUGGCUGAUCCUUUCAUUGUCAGGAUGAAAUGAGUGAAUGUAUGUGAAACACUUGGUUAACUAUGAAGUCCCCAGCACGUAUAGAGGUAUGACCAUUCACUACUCAUUACUCUUGUUGCACGCUGCUCUUUCUUAGAGGUAGUGAAGAGGUUUUCUGAGUGCCUCAUUUAACAUUAGCCUUGAGUAACUGCAAUGGUAAUAGAGGCUCCAUUGUCUGAUGCUAGAGAAUUUCAUUGGGCUUACACCCCUUUCCAAAUUGGGAAGGUGCUACAAUAUCCCCCUCUGAGUCCCGCUGGGGAGAAGAGGCACUCUUCACAUGCCUUCUGGAUUCUCUGAGGUGUCUGGCUUCGUGCCCAAAACACCCUCAGAGGACUGUUCAUUUUCUGUCAUAAUUGUGAGCCUUCCUGAUUAUGUAGCAACGGAAACAAAGAUUUCCUAUGCCCUGAAAAUCAGAUUUUUGAUGGCCACAUGCUCUCCCCACUCUCUGGUCUAAGCAGGGAAGCAUGCAGAUCAUUAGAACAACCCAGACGCACAACUCUCUCUCUCUCUCAUAUGAGAGACCACUGUGUUUUUAAGACUCUGAGAGGAUGAGAAACUGGUUUUCUACUAAAAGAAAUUAGCGGUCAUUAUCCUUAUAGUCAUCUCUCCAAAACUCAUUGACAUGAGUGACCCUCUAUCUGUGACCCUGAGGGUCAUUGGAACCUUCCUGUGUUCGUAACCCCCCGGAGGACUCUCUUGGCUGUCAUAGUAGAGACCUGUCCUACUGGCCGUGUGGCUGCAGACUCUACUAGGACUUAAUAUUUGGCAUUUCUUCCAAGGAUGAAAAGGAGAUUAUCAAUAAUAUUUGAGUUUUCUUAUGUAAUUGACUUUGCCAUCUCUUAUUCAUGUGUAAGUAAGUAUCUUUACAUGGGUGGAGUAAAAGCAUAUCCACUGGUAGAAAGACAAUGUGCAAGCAGCAGCUGAUCCCCGGGCGUUAAUGCUGCUCCCAUUUAAUAGAUGGGGAAAAUAAGCCUGUAUGGUAAGAUGAUAAUAGUCCCUAUUGUACCCUGUGUAUUUACCAGGUGCCAGGCACAGGGCCAAGGACUUUACACAUUAACUCGUUUUCUCCACCAACCUAUGGAGUGGGGAUAUUAACACCUACAUUUUGCAGGGGAAGAAAAUGAAAACCUGAAGAGGUUAGUAACUCUGCCAAGAUCACAAAACAAGUAAGUGGCUGUGUCAGUCAGCACAAGUUAAAUUACACUUUGUAACAAACAGCCCCCACAUCCUAGUGGUUGCAAGAGCAAAGGUUUAUUCCUCACUCUGGCUGCAUGUCGAUGCAGGCGGACUGGAGGCUCUGUUUCUCCUUAAUCUGGGAUCUGGGCAGAUGGAGUGGCUGCUACCUGGGACCUGCUGGUCAUCGUGGCUGAUGGAAAAAGAGAACAUGGCAAAGUGCUCACUGGUGACACUUGUUCCUUCUGUUCCUUUUGUGGGUCAGAGCCUGUCCCCAGCCACCCCUAACUUCAGAUGGGCAAGAAAGAACAAUUUGACCAUCUGAGAGGGAGAGGAGGAAUACCUGCAGGCAGCUCUACUGACGACCACAGUGGCAGAGAGAGGAUUUGCUAAGAAAGCGAUUUUCUAAGGCCUGUGCUCUCUCCUCUCAUGAAUGCUGCCGUGUGCUGAGCACUUCCUGAGGGCAGGUGCCAUGCUAAGCAUUUUACAGAUAUUUGCAGUCCUCACAACAACCCUGUCAGGUAGAUACUAUUAUCAUCUUCAUUUCACAGAUGAAGUUAUUGAGCCCAGAAAGGUCUGGAAGUAACUUGAGCCAGAUGGCACAAGGCAUAAAAAAAUGGUACCUUGUGCAGCCCUCAAGCCAGCCUGACUCUGGGGACUAUCUUCUUUCCACUUGCCAUGAGGAUUACCAAUGCCACAGACGUCACUUCAGUUUCAUAAGAAAAGAACCACAGACAUUUUUUAAAAAAGGAUUAAAACUUUAUUUAAUUGUGUGUUUAUUUUCUAAUUAAAAAGGUAAUAAGUGCACAUUAUUAAAACUCAGACAAUACUUACAGGUUUGAAGGAGAAAGUAAAAAAUGAGGAAUAACCAAAACAUUUAGAUAUGUCCUUCCAGACAUACUGACCUGUAACUUGCUUCUUCACAUAAUGAUAUAUUGUGAACAUCUUUCCAAUACAUAUAUUUCAUUUUUAAUGGCUGCAUAAUAUUCUAACGACUGUGCCACAGUUGAGUUGGAAUGUUGUGAUACAUUGAUGAACAUUUAUCUUGUUUUCAAGUUUUCUCUGUUCCCUUGGUUUGAAUUCCAUUUCUUUCUUGAUAGUGAUGGCUAAUAGCUUUUCCUAUUUUUCUUAACCAAUUCAUGUCUUCACCAAUGAGAAACAUUGUAACGGUCGAAGAUCUUUACUCAAAAUAUUCCUUCCACUGUUACCUCUUUUCUCUCCCUCCUCCAUAGAGACACCCCCCCCCCCCCCGUCCCCCCCACCAAAUGCUAUUAAAACGUUUUCAUUCCCAGAGUCUCAAGCCAGGGGUUUUCCUUGACAUUUCUGUUUGGUUUCAGAUAAUUCUUCUGAAAUUUCCCUAUAAACUGCUUUCCUUAUUUUUCUUCUUUUGCCUUUUGUUUUCUUUCUCUUUUUUUGUAUAUCCGUACUCCAUAUUGUAUUUUAUAUUCGCAUGUCUGUAUUCUAGAACUAUUAAAUAAAAUGUUUUGUGCUUUUUCUGGCUGUUACCUCUACGGCAAGGCAUUCAUCCCAUUCUGGCUGCAGCCUCCUAGCUUCCUCUCUCUGUCCCCAAGUAGCCCCUGCUCAGCCGCACGGCAGUCCCAGCCACUGCACUCUCCCCACUCUGCCCGCGUUGUUCUCUCAGCCCGGAAUGGCCUUCGCUGUCAGCUAUGGUUGGUCUUCAGAGUCCAGCUCAAAAGCCUGCUCUUUCAGGAAGCCUUCUCGGACCCCAUUCUUAGCCAAAAUCAAUUGUUCUUUCCUCUGUGCUUUGCAGCCCUCCACCUUCAGUGUGCACUCAUUAAGGAAAACACUUAUUCAGUGCCUACGGUGUGCUCUGACGAGCUGGGCAGAUACAAGGAACACGCCUUGGUAUCCACUCUCUGGGAAUCUUCAGCCCCUCGGGAGAUAGGCAAACACAUCAUUUCAACCCAGUAUGGUAAAAGCUGAAGUGGAGGUAAGGGCGGGGCGCCACGGGAAUAACGUGGAGCUGUGCCUUGGGGACGCAGCGCUCCCAACUGCUCUCAUCUGCCUCCUGGAAGGGGAGAAAUGUUCCUACGGUAGUGCCAACUAACCAAAUUACAAGCGAGAAAUCUCCUUCUAUCAAGAUGGGGAGUACGUUUUUCCACCUUUGACUAUGGGCUGGCCUUGUGACUUGAUUUGACCAAUAGAAUAUGGCGGAAGUGACGUUGGGUGUCUUCUGAGGCUAGGCUUCUAGAAGCUUUGGAGCCUCUCCUUUUGCUGUUUCAUAACCCCAAGACUACCAUGGUGUGAAUAAGCUCAGGAUAGAAGACCUUCUGGAGAGAAAGGCCCAGGUGAGUCCACCCAACCUGCCAGCUGAUUGCAGCCCAGGAAAGGCCAGCAGCAGAGCUCUGCAGCCAAUCCACAGAGUCAUGAGAAAUAAUAAGAGGCAGCUGUUUGAAACCACUAGGUUUUGGAGUGUUUUGUUGUGCAGUCAUCAAGAACUGGUGAAGAAACUGGUAUCUGGCAGUGGGCACAAUUGUAGCAGAACUCUGAAGCAUGUGGCACUGGCUUUGGGACUGGGUGGCAGGUGGAGGCUGAAAGGGUAGCAAGGAGUUUGUCAGCAGAAUUGCAAGAACAAUGAGAAAAUUGCUACUGGAGCUGGAAACGAGAGACCCAUGUUGUGUAUAUGGGGAAACUGAUGCCACAGUAACUUGGAAGAUAGAAAAUGUGCCUAAUGAACUUGUAGACUUGGCCACGGCAAAAUUUUGAAAGUGUGAAUUGAUUUUUUUUUUUAACCUAGGAAGAGAGAAAUGAACCAAAGAAUGAAAUGUUUAGUUUAUAAUUAGAACUUGCAGGGAAUAUAAAACAGCCAGGACUUUUUUUUUGGUUAGAAAAUGAAACUAUUUCACAUUUCUCGUGUUUCCAGUCAGCAAAAGAUUCUCAAAAUGAGAAAUGGCCUGAAGGUAAACAUUGAAUCAAAUGUGUGGUCAUAAGAUCUUUGUUAAGACUUCAGAAAAAUUUAAGGAUGUACCUAACUAACUUUCUCAGCCAGACAAAAUAGUUUCUAAGAAUCCUAAGGGCAUUAUCCCAUAGCCACUUGAACACGUGUAAAGCAGAGAGAGGCAUGUCUUAAAGGAAUUAUGGAUGUGCCUUUUGCGCCUGGGGAGAGACACUAUAAAAUUCAUAGGAAACCCACAAAGUUUUUUGAGAGUAUUGUAUUUACAAGAGCACUGUCAGCUUGGACUGAAAUGGGGGAGAGAGAGUUCAGAAUGAAAAAGAGGCUUCUGAGCUCCCAACUUUCUAUGGGCAGAAAGAAGGUGGAAGAAAGCUUCUUAGCUGCAAACAUGGACCAUUUCUUAUGAUAAAGGAAAGGUGUCUCAGAAGAUAAAGCCAUGAGACUUGGGGCAGAGCCAAGAGCUGGGGAGAACAAUAAUUGAGGGAACCUCUCUUAGGGAGCACCACUGGUCCCCCAUAAAGGAAUACUCCUUGUUCCUGGAAGAGGAGACCUAAAACACGUGCCCAGCUGGAUUUCGGAACUGUUAUGGACCACAGACGGUUCUGUGCCUCUGUGAGAUGCCUACCACAGCAUGGCUUGACAAGCAGUGCGUAGGUCCACGCCCAGGAUCUGAACUAGCGAACCCUGGACCGCCAAAGUGGAAAGAUGAGGUAUGUGGGCAGAUAAUGGUCUUUUUAGUUCCCACAUCUCUGCAUGAAGAGGAGCCACAGCAAAGAGCUGCAUGUGACCUGCAGAAGCUGUGAUCUCUUGCCAUGGAGCUGCACAUGCGGUUGGUACAGGACUCAGAGAAGCUAAAGGAGAAGAUCCUGCAGGAGGAGGAGCUGUGGGCCCAACUGUACCCCAUGUCAACACACUGAGCCAGCAGGUCCUGAGCCCUCCACCAAACUCCAUCAGAGAGUAAGCCUACUGCUUCAUGCCCACUCUACAAAUCUCAUGCAGAUUUCUCUGAGUGGCCGGCCCUCUCCUGGAACCACACAGGGCAGAACUUGGAGCCAGUUAGCAUAAGCAUCUCCUGCCACCGGAAGCACGACCUAGGAGAGCGCCUCUCUUCCCUCGGCCCCUGUGAGCCAGGCCCUGCCUCCUCGCACAGCUCCCUCUCCCACUCCUGCCUGUUCAGGUCUGUUCCAUGUUUAGAGUUUUCAAAAAAUGGAUCUGGGAGAACAGGCAAACGCAAGUGACCUUGGUUGGGCGUCCUGCGUCUGGAGUAUACAGCGCCCUCUAGAGGACGAAGGCUGCGGCGGCCUCCCAGUUAACUGUUCAUUCCUAUGGCGCUUAUCAACGUGUCAUCAUUCUCUGUGAUGGGAAACAAAAGGGGGACCUGGCCAGAUGGGUAGAAAGAAGAUGAGGGGAUAAUUUAUCUUAGCCUCCUUGUCUCCCAAAGCCAAGACUCUGUUCCUGGGCUCCUAGAAGGGAGAGGGGUUAGCGUGACAAUUCCUGGCAGCUCAUGUAUAUGGAACCGCAUGGAUAUUCACACCACAACUCACCUGUGUGAUGGAGAUAACGGAAUUUUAUUAGUUUGGAAUUAAUUUGGAAUUAAUGAUUUGUCUUCGUGAUGAGUCUUCUUUUUCCUUUUUUUUCUGGGGGACAGGGAGGCUGUGAGGAAUAUGUUAUGCAUUGUAAGGCUGUCUACCCUCUGCUGAAUUGAAGAAGAAAAACUUAGAAACCCAGCCUUGUAUGAGUUCCCUUCUCCCAGAGGCCAGGGACAUCCACAUCUGUAGUGCUUUUGAUUAGAUCUGCUUUUUGCCCAUGGCGGUUAUCCAUAAAAACACUCUUUUCCUAUAUAUAUCAUUCGAGCCUCAAUACAUGGUACAGUUGCUUCUUUCUUUCCUUUUUUUUCAACAAAGCCAAACAGGGUGGUGUUUUUCCUUAGCAAAAUCCCCCUCCUUUUUGGCUCUAUGCCUGGCUCUUCCCAAGGUGCUUGGAAAGAAAGGAAAAAACUCAGAAUCAUUUCCUUUUGUUCUUGACUGAUUCAUGGGUGGAGGGAGAAAGGAGUGGGUUUCAGCUUGAAACAUAGAAUGAUGUUCAAACAGUUUUAAAAAAUGGCCUUCAUUAAUCCUCAUUGUGUGGCACUCCCCCUUGAAUUGCAGGCUUUUUGAGUUUUUUCCUUUUUCUUGUUUAUCCAUCUUUGAAUGCCCAGCAUCUAGCACAGUUCCUGGCACAUAGUGGGUGUCUGGUGAGUGUAGAAUGUUGAGAUGCUAGGUCCCAUUGUAGGCCAUAGGGGCAAUCCCUUGUAAGCUAAGUACUUAUUAAUAUAUACAUAGAUGAAACACAACAUUUGUGACUACACUUCUCUACCACAAAAGCUUUGUUCGUGGUGUGCUGUGGCGUAAAUCAGUCUUAACUUUGCACAACCCUAAACAAGAGUUAUGUAGGAGCAGGAAAAUCAAACCUGUGCUUUCUUAAUUAUAGCAUUGGUUGGAAAGCAAUUAUUGACCUGUAACAUCUCGUUAUUUGUCUUUCUGUCUAUCCAUAUAUCCAUGUGUCUGAUGAAGUCAAGAGGUCAGAUAAGAACAGAGGCAGAAAUAUGGUCUUUCUAAUGUAACUGAUAAGAAUCUGAACUGGCGUGAAUCUCUGUGACUGGGGUCCAUUCCCAGCAGCAGAUAGAACCAAACCCCCAGCCCCAGGAGGAAGACCCUUCAGCAAGAUGGCUUUGCUAAUAUCAUUAUGUGCAAAAAGGGAUACGCUUUUACAAGUGUAUUUUACGAAGCUGAAAAUAAAAGGCAAAAAAAAAAAAAAAAAAAGGCUGGGAAAAACGAGUACUGUCUUACACGUUUCUUAAAAGGAAAAUUCAUUCUGUUCUCCCUACCAGUGCGGACUUGCUGCCUUAGAGGAAAAGCCCGUUAAAAGAACGUAUUUGUGUGUGGAACAAGGUCAUGCACUUAUUGGCUUUCUGCUGCACGGCAUCAAUAUCCCAGACAAGGAGAAUCCGUUUGCUUUCACCAUAGCCUUGUACCGCGCACAAGGGCUGCAGCAAAAUAUAUAUUCUCCAAUGCUGCCAGCACCAAAGCACAGAGGAACCCAGAGGCAGGGACUUCAAAAUGAGGGGAGAAUAGCUGAGUGUUUGUUGUAAGAAAUAAAUAUGUUACCUGGAAACAUCAUUACACUCUGAGUAGUCUGGUGUGUUGGUGUGGAGGGAUGGGGAGGGGUUGUGAUGCCCAAGUCUCUCCGAAGCUAUUUCAUAGACAGAUGACUUCCCAAAUAUUUCUCUAAUUCUCCCUUGUCUUCUGCACCACUCUCCCCAACCGCUGUAGCCUGACUAAUAUUAUUAAUCGCCUUCAUGCUGCUCUUACGACUCCUCUUACUAAUACGGUAACACUUCAUUUAUCCAGCAUCAUCAGGGAUGGGCUGUUCCACAUAACUACAUUUUCCAGCUGACUAAACUCCGCUUCUCUGAGCACCCAAAUUUAGUCUGUUUUCAUCAGUUUGAAUAGCAGUCUUUCUAAAAUGUUUUCAUCACCUGUUUUCUCGAAUAGCUUCCAUGAACAUGAUCUAAGCUUGUCCUAGUGAUUUGGGGGCAUUUUUAUGUAUACUGGUUACACUGUGCUAUAAAAUAGGGCUCCCUCUGAGGCCACCAUGCUCCCUAGGACUACUUGGCUAUGCUGGAUGCCUCUGGACUGCUGCUCAUUCUGAAUUAGUGCAAUUACUUUACUUUUCUCGACAUAGCUUCCUUAUCUGCAAAAGAGAGAUAACUGUGUCUACCUUGUUGGGCUGAUGUGAGAAUUAAGUGAAAUAAUGUAUGUGGAUCUUAGCGCGGUGCGUGGCACAUGGAAUGUGUUCAAGAAAUGUUAGCCAUUCUUACUUUAAGUGAGGAAUUACUGUAGUCAUAGCCGCCAGCACAAUACUGCAAUGAAGAUGAAAUUGGCACGGGUGCAUUGAAGACUUUGAAGACUUUUAGAAAUACUCACUCCGACACAGUUUAAUGAAGUUUACUCAUUUCCUGGUAGUGCCAUCCUGGCUGAUCAGGGUAAGGUAUAAAUCCAUGGAAGCAUGGGAGUAAGACAGCCUCUUUUCCCUCCAGAACCUUGCCUCAAACCCUUGUCCGUUGUCUUUUGUCACUUCAAGCUGAUGCUCCUCAGGAAAUCCUCCUUCCUUUAUUUGACCCGACUUGCAUUUGACCCAAUCUGCAUUAGCGUCCCCUCAGUCCCAUGCACUCAGUUUGUUCUGUGGCCAUUCCAUUUGUAAAUAGGUUGCUUUGUCAGGUGUUCUUGGAGGCGAACGUGGGCUCAGAUCUAUAGGCUUAAUCGAGUCAAGGCAUCUAAAAGCCCAUCCAGCAUCUUUCUGGACAUACUGGUCUGGGAUGCAUAUGAUGGGAAAGAAGAGGACAGUUCUGCAAAUUACCUAUAUGGGAGGGAAAGGCAGAGUCUAACACACACAAGGGGCUCCACGGCAGUGGAAGUCGAGUGGGCGCCAUGGCUCCAUGGAACCAGCCAUCUCCAUCAACGUUUGGAGACUAUCCUCGGAACGAGGUGGUUGGUGGCACGGAGGGUGAGUUGGUGGACAGGGCCUUGGCGGGGCUGCACCUCCACUGAGUAGGUACCAUGGUAGGCUGUUCUUGGGUACCACCCAUCUCUGCGCUCCUGGAGGAGAUCAUCUUGGGUGUUUCUCAGCCCUGCACUCAUCUGCCAUGUGCCUCCUUGGCCCUCGUAGAGCUGCAUCCUUUCACUUAAGGCCACUCCUAGCUCCUGAGCCAUUUCUCCGAACUGACUAUUUAGCCUGACGCACAAUUGGUGGUUAAAACGGACUCUAUCCAGAAGUGAAGCUCAGUUUCUUAACUUCCAACUAGAAGCUGCAUUUAGUCAUCCCUGGAGCCUCUUUACAUUCCAUUGGCUCUGCCAACAGCCGGGAGCAGAGGUCUGGCGUUGUUUCCAGCAUGCCCCCCUGGGCUCCUCCCACUAACUGCCCUUUCUGUGCUGAGAGAUGUCCUUGUUCUGCAGAGCAGAGGUGAUGGCACACAGCAGCCCAGUGCAUGAGUUCUCCCGCAGGAUUCCUCUUCACGUCUCUCAGGGAGGCGGCCUUCCUGGGGUCAUAUCACUCCCGCUCUGCAAUAGGAAAAUAACCGCAAGAAUAACAAUUUUAACUAACAAUAAGAAAAGGGCUUUCUUUCACAUGCUAUUUUACAUAAUAAAUGUGUUUCUGAAAAGUAUAUAAUUGCAAUGGUGUAAAUAAAAUCGUGUUUAAAGGGAGCUAGGCCAGUUGUUCAGAUGGCUGCCUACCUGGAAGUCUUGAUGCUCUUCCAAAAAAAAAACUCGCGAUAGGGAGACAUAUCCUGCAAUAGCAUGUGAGCCAGGGACAACUUUCCCAGCAGGAGGUAUGACUAUGCCGCAUAAGUACAAUAUAAAAUCAUAAGCAUAAAAUCCUCGAAAAAGAUCAGGCUGUCAAAUGUGACACGAUUGGUUCUUUCUGAGUAUUUUCUUUAAUAAUUUUUAGUACGUAGUUAUUUGCUUUGUCGUCAACUCUCCCUCAAGAGCAGGUUAUUGGUACAAGCACCCGACAUCUAAGAGAAAUAUCUGAGAGACAGAAUUAAAAUGGUUAAAAUUAUAUUGACCUGUCUAAGUGUUUUUCUAUGCAUUGGGAAUUCUGCCAUUAAUUUUUUGUUUUUUCAGUUUUAGUGGCCAAACAGUUUUGUUCAAUUUAUGGGCAGUGCUGUGUGGCACGUUGUUUUGGAAAUUUCUCACUGCCGAGAAUCUUUUUGUAGACUGAAAAUUAAUUUUGUAAUGCAAAUCAUAACCUCUGGUUUUUUCAGUUUUGUAAGUUUGAACAUGUGUUUGUGUGUGUGUGUGUGUGUGUGUGUGUGUAUGCUUCUCCCUUAAUUCAUAACAUUGGAGAGAUAGUUACUUAUAAAGUAACCCCCAACCUCUGGGUAUAGUUCAAUUUAUUAGUUACACGGUAGAAUACCAGUUGAAGAGACAUCAUAUAAUGCAGUACAGUGUGUGUCCCAAAAAGCUACUAACUACCCAGAUUAGCAACUUCUGGGGUGUUUUAUGAAAAAAGCAGAUUCUUAGAGCAUACCUCAGGACUGCUGAGUCAGAAUGUUUGGGGUAGGGCCAGAAUCUGCAUUUUAAGCAACAUUUCAUGGAAUUCGUACACGUAUCGGCCUUGGAGAACUACUGGGAUGGCGUCUGAGAGGGCAGCCUCUGAGGUCAAACUCCGCCUCUGCCACUGAUUUGGCCUGUGGCCGGUUACUCAAGCCUUGGUUUCCACUCUGUAAAAUCAAGAAUGUAGGCAUAUCUACCUCCCAGGAUUGCUGUGGGGAUGAACUGACAUCACGUAUGAAAAUCACGUACGCAGAGUGUUUGGCUCAAAACAAGGGCUUAAUAAAUGGUAGAUGUUACUUAUGGCCUAGACUAUCAUUCUUAAUGAUUUGACUAAGACAUCUUUCACUUACGCAAACAUUUUGGGGCUCACAUGUAACUUGCACUACUUAGCGCACCAUGUACACUAUAAAUAUGUAUACUGUUAGCUGCGUAUAUAGUGGUCCAGGCUACGGUAAGACGGACCUUCGAGGAACAAUUCAAUUGGGAUGUUCUGCAUUGGUCCAUAGUGGCUGAGUAGGUACAAAUGGGUUCAUGAGAAUAGGGUUCUUUUUUAAAAAUUAUUUUAUUGAGGUGAUAUUCGCUUACAACAUUGUGUAAAUUU